CCUACGGGAGGCAGCAGUGGGGAAUAUUGGACAAUGGGCGCAAGCCUGAUCCAGCCAUGCCGCGUGAGUGAUGAAGGCCUUAGGGUUGUAAAGCUCUUUUACCAGGGAAGAUAAUGACGGUACCUGGAGAAUAAGCCCCGGCUAACUUCGUGCCAGCAGCCGCGGUAAU
rnacentral:rRNA from 1 species